GAUCUGGUUCAGGACGAACGCUGGCGGCGUGCCUAAUACAUGCAAGUCGAACGGUCUUUCUAUGGAAGCUUGCUUCCACUGAGAAGAUAGUGGCGAACGGGUGAGUAACACGUGGGUAACCUGCCCAUAAGAGGGGGAUAACAUCCGGAAACGGGUGCUAAUACCGCAUAGUUUUCUUGAUCGCAUGAUCGGGAAAGGAAAGACGGCCUUUGUGCUGUCGCUUAUGGAUGGACCCGCGGCGUAUUAGUUAGUUGGUGAGGUAACGGCUCACCAAGACGAUGAUACGUAGCCGACCUGAGAGGGUGAUCGGCCACAUUGGGACUGAGACACGGCCCAAACUCCUACGGGAGGCGGCAGUAGGGAAUCUUCCGCAAUGGACGAAAGUCUGACGGAGCAACGCCGCGUGAGUGAAAGAAGGUUUUCGGAUCGUAAAACUCUGUUGUCAGAGAAGAACAAGUUGGAGAGUAACUGCUCCAGCCUUGACGGUAUCUGACCAGAAAGCCACGGCUAACUACGUGCCAGCCGCCGC
rnacentral:rRNA from 1 species